rnacentral:tRNA from 1 species
GAAGGUAUAGCUCAGUGGAGAGUGCAUGCUUAGCAUGCAUGAGGUCCUGGGUUCAAUCAGCAGUACCUCCA